rnacentral:rRNA from 1 species
AUUGAACGCUGGCGGCAUGCCUUACACAUGCAAGUUGAACGGCAGCACGGGUGCUUGCACCUGGUGGCGAGUGGCGAACGGGUGAGUAAUACAUCGGAACGUACCUUAUCGUGGGGGAUAACGCAGCGAAAGCUGUGCUAAUACCGCAUACGCCCUGAGGGGGAAAGCGGGGGAUCGAAAGACCUCGCGCGAUUAGAGCGGCCGAUGCCUGAUUAGCUUGUUGGUGGGGUAAAAGCCCACCAAGGCGACGAUCAGUAGCUGGUCUGAGAGGACGAUCAGCCACACUGGGACUGAGACACGGCCCAGACUCCUACGGGAGGCAGCAGUGGGGAAUUUUGGACAAUGGGGGCAACCCUGAUCCAGCAAUGCCGCGUGAGUGAAGAAGGCCUUCGGGUUGUAAAGCUCUUUUGUCAGGGAAGAAACACCGGCUCUAACACAGUUCGGGAAUGACGGUACCUGAAGAAUAAGCACCGGCUAACUACGUGCCAGCCGCCGCGGUAA